rfam:Triticum aestivum genome assembly, contig: Triticum_aestivum_CS42_TGACv1_scaffold_486571_6AS
AACAUACUCCCUCCAUCCGAAAUUACUUGUCACGGCAAAUGGAUAGAAAUGAAUGUAUUUAUAAAACUAAAAUACAUCUAGAUACAUCCAUUCCUGUGAAAGUAAUUCCGGAUGGAGGGAGUAUGAA